GCAUAACGGUGACAAAAAACAAUAGAAAAGGGCGUGGAGCACGUUUAGUUGAGUUUUCUUGGUGGCUAAGGGGCGAUUCCUUUCCAGUGUUGGUCAAAGACGAGAUUGAAGUGAAGGAAGACUUGGAAGGAAGACAGCUUCCAAGUCAAAUACUAACACCCCAAGCAGAGUUCAAAAUCAAACACGGUGCAAUUCAGGGCCCAGGCCCCUCUCAAAGCACCAGGCGAUAAAUUAGGCUAUACCCCAGCUCGCUGCUGCUAAGACUUUACCUUGUCAUUGGGUGCCGACUCACUUCCCAUUCCACCAUCUACCUUGUAGGAUCAGCUUAUUAGUUGCCAGAUUGGACCUUUCUUUAAUUUCUGCGCGGCAAAAACUUUUGGUAGGUAAAGUCUCUGAUACAUGCACGUGGACAAGAGCUUUCCAAACAAUUUUGAUGAAUCAAUAUUUGAUUUGAUUUUCAAUGAAGUCUUACUGCUAUUAUGGCUACAGUGUGUGAAUGAAACUGAACUUAAUAGUCAUGUGAACAAAAUCGAAUAAAUUUUGGAUUUCGUUUAGUAAGAUGAGACCCACACGGUUUUGAUGAUUCGUGAGUGUAUAAAGCUACAAUUUGGUUGAGUUAUUCGCCUUAUGAUACUAUGCAAGCUAAAAUGAAGUAAGUCGGUUGAAUAAUUAGAGAAAGAAUUGUUUAUUUUUUAUCUUUUCGGUUUCUAAUUUGUAAUUGAGUUUUCUAUAGAAAGCUGUAGGAAGUUACGCGAAACAUCGCGAUAAUCACAUCCACCGCACGCCGACUAAUGGUUGAAGGGUCCAUUUGGGCCCCAAAUAAAUCAGAAAAUAGCCGUCCAAAUUCCAAAUAAAAACAAAUCAAAGUUUAAUCACUGAAAUCUAUGAAGGGGAAAAGAUUGACAUUUGUUUUGCUAGCGUAGAUUCCAGACUGAUCCACUCAAUUGGGAGCUGUGACUAGGGUUAUUUAAGGAUGUAAUUUAUCCAAUUUAAAUUAAUAUAAUAUUAAUUUUAAAUUUUAAAUUUAUUCAAAUUUGAUUAAAUUUUUUUUAAUUUAAAUUCGAUUGAAGAUAAAAAUUAAAUUAUUUAAAUUUAUUUAAUUAAAUUCGAUUAAUAUAAAAAAUAAACUUAAUUUUUAUU
rnacentral:lncRNA from 1 species